CUCAUGGCGGGUUUGUUUGCAGAAUUUACGGUUUUCAGGAAUUUAUAAUUUUAUGGGAUUAUAAAUUUUAGGAUUCAUGUAAAAUUCUUGUAUAUUUGGUAACUCAAUUAAAAUUCCUAUGAUUUAUAGAGUUUUAUUGUAUUAAAGUCUUUCUACCGUUUGCCAUUAACCCCAAAUCUUAAAAUUGCAUAUAUAUGGAAUUUAGAGUUUAAAAAAAAUGGGUCCAUAAAUUAUUUGAUAAGUUUCCCAGCAAAUCUUAGGGGGUGAGGUCAGACUUCAUAUGGAGGAUUUGCUGGAAAACUGAAUCCAAAGAUUAGGAUAACCAAACAUAAAAAGGGAAACGUAAUUCUACCAAAUUCCUUGUACCCAUAAAUUCCACCUUUAAAAUUCUACAUCCAAACCCACCAUCAAUCCAUUCCAUCACUUGGAGUUUCUUCAGAAUCCCAAUUUUUUUUCAGAAGAAAUUGGAACGGAAAACAAAUUCAUAUCUAACUCACAAAGUGAGAGCGAGAGUGGAGAAAUUUUCUCUUUUCAACUAUAGGGUAUCUCUGUACAUCUCCAUCUGCCUUGAAUGCAGAUUUUGAUGCAUGGCAAAGACGAUCAUAGAGAAGAUUUCAUCACCAAAAGAAGAAGAGAAUCAUUAUCACAAGGUGAAGAAACCUUGACUGGAGGAGAGAUAGAGACGUGAUUCGGUGAUUAUGCAUCAAGAGGUGUUGAUCUCUUUGGGGUGUUAUUGCAGAAAUAAUCAGCACUAUAUUUCAACAUGAUCCCCUUUAGUUUGCACCUGGCAAAUGCUUAUAUUUUCUCUACUUUAUUGAGUUACAAUAGCAUUAUUAAUGUGGGGAUUCAUUUACUAUUGGUUGGAUUAAUUUUCUUUUCAUUUUUCGCUUAUCCAUCUGGAUUUGUAUUGUUCCCCCCUUGUUUUGUUGGCAUUUGAACCCAAGUUAAGUUAGAGAUGUUGAUGCUGAUGCUGUUGAUUACAUGGAAUGCAGUUGGCUAUGAAGAUGUAGGUGUUGUGACUUGAUCAGGAUAUGUAAUCAAGUUGUAAAUUGGUGAAGCUGAAUAUAUUGGUUUGAGUUGCAGUUUACAGCUUGCAGUGGGUGUUAGUCAAAGGUUUAGAAGAGAGGUUGGAGCUGAAAUUCGAGAAGACGGGCUGACGGGGUUCCAGAUUUGCAUGAAUCAAAUUGGUUUUAGUCUUUGAGAUUGGUUGCUGGUCGAGAUUCAUAUGGGUUAAGUCGAGCUAAGGAAACAAAGAUUCACAGGAGUUAAGUCGAGUUGGUGUUGUUGGUUGGGAAGCUACGGGUGUAUAGGUGUUGGUGUUGAUCAUAAUGGUUGAAUAAUUUGUUAUGCAGCUAUGAAAAUGAUUGUAUAAA